rnacentral:rRNA from 1 species
UACGUAGGGUGCGAGCGUUGUCCGGAAUUAUUGGGCGUAAAGGGCUCGUAGGCGGUCUGUCGCGUCGGUAGUGAAAACUCAGGGCUUAACCCUGAGCCUGCUUCAGAUACGGGCAGACUAGAGGUAUGCAGGGGAGAAUGGAAUUCCUGGUGUAGCGGUGAAAUGCGCAGAUAUCAGGAGGAACACCGGUGGCGAAGGCGGUUCUCUGGGCAUUACCUGACGCUGAGGAGCGAAAGUGUGGGGAGCGAACAGG